GAGUUUGAUCCUGGCUCAGGAUGAACGCUGGCGGCGUGCUUAACACAUGCAGGUCGAACGAAGCGCCUUAUUUGAUUUUCUUCGGAACUGAAGAUUUGGUGACUGAGUGGCGGACGGGUGAGUAACGCGUGGGUAACCUGCCCUGUACAGGGGGAUAACAAUCAGAAAUGACUGCUAAUACCGCAUAAGACCACAGCACCGCAUGGUGCAGGGGUAAAAACUCCGGUGGUACAGGAUGGACCCGCGUCUGAUUAGCUGGUUGGUGAGGUAACGGCUCACCAAGGCGACGAUCAGUAGCCGGCUUGAGAGAGUGAACGGCCACAUUGGGACUGAGACACGGCCCAAACUCCUACGGGAGGCAGCAGUGGGGAAUAUUGCACAAUGGGGGAAACCCUGAUGCAGCAACGCCGCGUGAGUGAAGAAGUAUUUCGGUAUGUAAAGCUCUAUCAGCAGGGGAGAAAGUGACGGUACCUGACUAAGAAGCCCCGGCUAACUACGUGCCAGCAGCCGCCGUAAUACC
rnacentral:rRNA from 1 species